UCAAAUUAUACAUGUACUAACAGUGUAAAAAAAAAUUCUACAUGCAAAACUUAUUUGUGUUAGUGCCAAAAAAUAAAAACAAUCAGUAAACCCCACUUAUUUAAAUUUUACACUGGUUUGUCUAUCCAGAUAAUCUUUUAAAUGUUAUUAUGACAGUAGUUUAGUCAUUUUCUAUUCCAAGCAACAGCUUACAUGGUGCUUUACUUAUUUUGUUGUUCAUCUAAUGUAAGUUGAACAGUGUUCAAUUGCACAUAGUUUAGACAAGACAGUCCUCAGGGAUGUGGGACGGAGCCCUCCCCGAUGCCAAAUGAUACUCCAAACAGGACGUUUGUGGCUCUUUUUCUGGAAGGUCGGGAUUACAAAAAAGCUGUGUGACUUGAAGUGACAUUCAUAUUCUUGGCACAAACCAGUGCAAUGAAUGGGGACUGGGCAAGAUUGUUUGAUUAAUCAAAAUAAAAAAAAAA